UGGGGAAUUUUGGACAAUGGGGGAAACCCUGAUCCAGCCAUCCCGCGUGUGCGAUGAAGGCCUUCGGGUUGUAAAGCACUUUUGGCAGGAAAGAAACGUCGCGGGUUAAUACCCCGCGAAACUGACGGUACCUGCAGAAUAAGCACCGGCUAACUACGUGCCAGCAGCCGCGGUAAUACGUAGGGUGCAAGCGUUAAUCGGAGUUACUGGGCGUAAAGCGUGCGCAGGCGGUUCGGAAAGAAAGAUGUGAAAUCCCAGAGCUUAACUUUGGAACUGCAUUUUUAACUACCGGGCUAGAGUGUGUCAGAGGGAGGUGGAAUUCCGCGUGUAGCAGUGAAAUGCGUAGAUAUGCGGAGGAACACCGAUGGCGAAGGCAGCCUCCUGGGAUAACACUGACGCUCAUGCACGAAAGCGUGGGGAGCAAACAGGAUUAGAUACCCUGGUAGUCCACGCCCUAAACGAUGUCAACUAGCUGUUGGGGCCUUCGGGCCUUGGUAGCGCAGCUAACGCGUGAAGUUGACCGCCUGGGGAGUACGGUCGCAAGAUU
rnacentral:rRNA from 1 species